UGUUUUUUACUCUAGAGGAGGUGCUCAGCUGCUAGCAACCACACACUCAUCCAAGGUAUUUUAAAGAGGCUUCCCACUUCCAGGUAUGGAAGAGCAACGACCUCCUGGAAGAGGAGAGUACACUGGCAAAACAGAUUCCAACGAAGGCUUUCCUGUGAUGCACAGUCACUUCUGGUGUUUGACUGUGAAAAUCUGUCUUACCAGCAUGCAAAGAUAGAGAGCAUAGUCCAUUUUCAGGAGUUGGGUGUUCCCUGACUCCUGAUUGAAGAAAACGUUGAGAAGCAGAGGACAGCUGGAAGAAUACGGGGAAAUGUUGUGGCCAUUCCCAAAGACAGAUCUUGCAGGGGGAAAUGGACCUUUCAAAGGAUGGGGAUUGAAACAAAAGCUCCCUUCAUCAGGAGGCAAAGAAGCCCAUCUAGCUUUCAGUCCUCUUUUCCUGCUGUCCCGAGUGCCACUCCUCCCAUUUUGAAAAAGUGACUUAUGCUGGAAUAAUGGAUUGCUAUGUUGUCACGUGUCAUCAGCGGGACUUCAGCCUUCGUCUGUCUUCCUUCACCACCAUUGUGCAGCACUAGAAAAAGUGCAAUCACUACUCUUGGAUUCUGAAAUUAUUUGUUCAAUAAGAAAGACGUUGGCACAUUUGCGAGUACCCAUUAUAAUAUUUGAUACUGUUAUGCAUUUGUGGAGAGCGUGGCUUGUAUAUGAGUGGGCGGAGGGAAUUAUUUUCGUAUUCUAGUUUGAUAAUCAGUCCCACAUGAAAAUCAUGUCUAAAGCCUUCCAGGUGCUGCCCACUCAAAAACAUCAGACAACACUGGUCCCAAACUUUCCAUUCAUCUCUCAUCCCACACCUUCAUUAAUAUGUUACUGAAUGAUGCUCCAGGAGCUAGCAAGAGGCUUGAUGAAAAGGUAGCUUAAAUGAUGGAAAGUCAUUUUCAGUAGUUAUGCUUUUAUGUUUAUUGAUUCAGCUAGAAGAGAGAUAAUAAUUAACAUCAGUUAUCUAGUAAACCUGUGAACUUGUUCCUGAAGCACAACCUG
rnacentral:lncRNA from 1 species